UUGCAAAGUACUUCCCUAAGGCAAUAUUAACUUUUCUUUUAUCGAUCCAAGUUUGCAGAUAUGAUACUCUGUGAAAUAUGAAAGCCACUAGCUUUUGUUUUGUAUUUUUUGACGAAUUUGUCAGCUCUUGUUGUCUACAACUUUUCCUUCGUUUGCCAACUUUCACAUAAUGAGAUUCUGAAUAGACCUUGAAUUUCAUAACAAAUUUGCAUUGCAUUGUUUGAAGUUUAGAGAUUUUACUUUGUUCGCUAUGACAGCGAGUCACUAGUACUCAGAACAAAUGAAACAUGAUUUUUUUGUUCAUCUCCGUUGACAUUUACAAAGUUGACAAAAGGCGACUUUAGUUGUAGAGUAGAAUGUUUCUAAAAAUGGCUGAGUUGUAAAAAAAAAGUAACAGUUGCUUUUUUGCAAUUACAUAAACAAAAAACAAAACAAUUAGACUAAUGGGAUAGCUGUCGUGCAACGUUGCUCUCGACAGUAUUAAAAAGUAUUCUGAAGACGAAAGACACGAGACUUGAGUCGAGAUUCGAGAAUUUUUACAGUCCUCUCGUGAAAACGAAUUUUUAGCUGAAACUAAGCUACUUCAUUUCGGCUCUCUGCCACUCGGUCAAUCUAGGACGACGUUUGCAUAAUUGUUCAGGUAGUAAAGAUAGUGCCAAAAACAGAAAGAAAGUGAUGGCCAAAUAUCCUGGUUGCAACUGACUUACUGCCAUCUGACAUGGACGUCGAUGCAUGGCGACGAUUUAUCUUAAAAUCUUUGUGUGGAUCUUUUGUAUCUUACAACGACAGGCGUCCUUAUAGCAUCAUGACGUGCUGGCAUAUCCGAUUGGGAUUACACAUCCUGACUGUGCAAAUGGCUAUACGAAAAAAAUAAGGUAAUUCCCAUUUUUUCUUUUAUGUACGGCUCCCCCAAGUGUAAGCUGUCAGGCCAAACGGGAGAUGUUACAAAAGACAGACACUGAGGAAAUGGAGGAACGAGAAAUUCCGCCGAUUCGUAACGUUUGGCUCAAUACAUCCAUGUACCCGAGUGUCGAGAAACAAUGUGUGCUGUUAGUUCUCGUUCACUUGGCUGACUUCUUUCCAAAUAAAUCAUCGGUACUCGCCCCGAAAUUGCUGAUGACCUCUUUGCAUCCUCCACUGCUCAAGUUUUCUACUCGACCGAAUAUGCUACCAUACAGUAUUUUUUGUUUGUUUUGUUAUGUGUGCGUAUUCAAUCUCCAUCAACUAUUGUCUGGUUUGUUUUUGUUUUGCUACACACAGGGCUUAUUCCUUGAUGCAUCUCAGAUAACAACCGUUCCGUCACGAUCUACUAACCUCCGGAUAAGUCAUCACAUGAUUUUUUAUGUCCACCAUGAAAGGAAAAGAAAGUGAACAAAGAAGAAACAAGGAAAAAAGAUUAGGAUGCUCCGCUUGUAGCGUUCGUCCGUCCUCGCUGUCCCGCUUGCAGCGACAACGACAAAACUGGAAUCGAAUCACAGG